rnacentral:tRNA from 1 species
GGCGCCAUAGUAUAAUGGUCAGUACAAGGGGCUCUCAAUCCCUAGAUAGGAGUUCGAUUCUCCUUGGCGCUACCA